rnacentral:rRNA from 1 species
UACGUAGGGUGCGAGCGUUGUCCGGAAUUACUGGGCGUAAAGAGCUCGUAGGUGGUUUGUCGCGUCGUUUGUGUAAGUCCACGGCUUAACUGUGGGAUGGCAGGCGAUACGGGCAUAACUUGAGUGCUGUAGGGGAGACUGGAAUUCCUGGUGUAGCGGUGAAAUGCGCAGAUAUCAGGAGGAACACCGGUGGCGAAGGCGGGUCUCUGGGCAGUAACUGACGCUGAGGAGCGAAAGCGUGGGGAGCGAGCAGG